UGCGGAAGGAUCAUUACUGUAAUCCAAACCUACUCAACCAAGCCUACUUGUUGCCGGGCGAAAGCCUAGCAGCCAAACCUAACCAAAAGAAACUAACUAAGCUUCAAACCUAAACCAAAUCCUCAACGAUGGAUAUCUAGGUUCCUACUACGAUGAAGAACGCAGCGAAGUGCGAUAGGCAAUGCGAAUUGCAGAGCCGAGAGUCAUCAGAUUUUUGAACGUAACUGGCACCGUCGGGUUUUCCCAACGGUAUGCUUCUUUCAGUGUGUGAUUUUCUCCUCACCCAAACCUUAAUGCGAUAGAUGCCCUUCUAUUGCUAAGCAAGAAAGCACUCUGAACUCUGCAGCGAUAGUUUCGACUGUCGCACUCAAUGCAGUAGUCACAUUCUCAAAUGUGAACUCAUUGAGAGUAGAGUCAGCGCAUGCUUGCAUGCCAGUGCUUGGAGAUACAAAUUUUUUCAACAUCUGAGAUGAAGUAGGACGACCCGCUGAACUUAA
rnacentral:rRNA from 1 species